GGAUCGCUAUCGUUGGUAGCGAUCCGGGAUUUGAGGUCCCAAACGGUAGGACUAUUUUAGUAUAGGGUCUUCCGUGCAAAAAAUCCUCCGUUUAACCGUUACUCGGGCCGACUCGAUCGAUCUGGGCCGCGGAAACUUGAUCGUGUGGCUGAGCCUGAUGGCCGCCGUCCAAACUUCCUUCUCGCCGUUCGCGUCAGCGGCGGGCGGCCGGCCGCUUCUCUCCACCGCCGGCGAAGGCGGCGGCAUCAAAGGUAAAGCCGUGAGCCUUCCUCUACUUCCUCUCCAUUAGCCAUCUUCUUCCCUUCCCGCGCGCUCCAUCAUCGUACGAUCACCCUCUUCCGCCGCGGCGUUCACAUACCGCCAUCUGCUCGGCGAAAUGCCGCACAGGCCUCGCGCCUCUCUCUGUGGCUCGGAAAAGAUUGUGAUAGCCUGAGAGGCUACGACGAGUCGACGAUUACCUGAUGGAUGGGCAGGCAGGCCUGAGUUUCUGGUUGCUUAGGAUGAAAUGGAAAUCCGAUACUUUCUGUUAUUCCCACGGUCCUACCUGGAGAAUGCAAGAGCAAGACGUAAGCCUUGCGAAUGCUGGAAUUCUUUUUCGUUUUUUUUUUGUGGAAAUCGAACGGCCUUAUGGAGAUUCUUGAACUCCAGUAGGGCUUAAGUAUUUCAAAAACGCACAAUAUUCUAAUAAAUCUCAUUCUCUCGUUUCUUCUAAGAAGCAGUCUCAUUGCUUGCAAAUCUGUACUAUCGAAAUCUGUACAAAUCAGAGGGCAAUUAGCGAGGCCACGUGGCAUGACUGGAUUCAUGGGUUUGGUCCCUCGCGCACAGCCGUCAGAUCACGCAUCUACGGUGAUAUAUCGUGCGGUGGAUCUUGUUGUAAAAUAUAAUCUUUCGAGGGAGUUUAAUGCAAAAGAGUAGAGUAUCCAUACUCCAGUAAAUACUUCGUUCGUCACCCGUUCCCAUCCGCCGCCAAGGCUCCAAUCUCCGCUCGUUCCACACCGCGGCCGUCGCCUCGCUGUCACCGGGCGGCUGCCGAUCCCGAGCCAACAGCCCGCCCUGCUGCCGGCACGCGGUCGUUGAAUCGAGGGCGCUGCCUCGCCCCCAUGAUUUUCUGGUGCGUCGCCGCUCUCCACGUGUUCCUCAUCAGCCGCAACGUCCACUUUCUCCGCCACCGGCAGCCGAGGCGCCGCCUCCGCCCACAUCGCAGCAUUGACUUCUCCAGGUUGGCUCACCUACUCCAUCGGCUAUUCCAGGAGGAUAGAAGUGGGAAAAACCUUGCUGCCAGAGACGAUAUCCACACCAUUUUUGGCAUGUUGAAGUGAUUGGACCAUGGCAAUCAGAGCUGAUCUUGCAUCUCCUUCUUCAUACACGCUUGUCAGGAGAUCCUUCAGUAUGCUGAUGAAAGGCGUUGCUCCAAUUCCAAGCCCGAUAAGCAAAAGAAUGUCAUAUUUCUUGUAAUUUUGAGCUGGUGCGCCGAAAGGACCAUCUAUAAAGACUUUGGGAAAGCUAAAUGAAGAGAACCAAAGUCAGGAAGAUUAGUGAAACAAUUGUAUAGAAAUUCCUUCAAAAAGUAGAUGAAUGUAGAAUAUGAAACAAACAGGGC